AAUUAACCUGUUACAGUUUGAAAUAGUUGCAACAAAGUGGUAGAAUAAUAAACAGAAUCAUAAUUUACUAUUAAAAUUCAAACCAACUGUGUAACAAUCUGGAAAUACAACAUGUAUCCAAAAUUAAAGUUCGAAACAAAAUGGAACAUUAUGAAUAAACGUAAUAUGGUACAGUCCUCCAGUGAGAAGCAGCUGCAGCCUCCAAUUUCUUCGACGGAGGUGGUUGUUCUCCGAAAUGACUGCGUGUCAUCGUGUCAUCCGGGGAGGAACAACGGGUUUUGGUGACAUAUUCGACAGUGGCUACUCAUCUGGAUGAAGCGUAUGUCAAUGCUGCAUCAAAUAAAAACGAAAUAAAAGGAAUGGCACAAUGGACUAACAAGAAAUCAAAAAGGUAAUUUUCUUUACCGUUGUCCGAGAUUAUCACAUCAAAUUUCUUCCCCAAGUUUCAAAAUUAAUCAUUCUGGUUCAAUCUGUGAC
rnacentral:lncRNA from 1 species